AUAAGUAGCGAGAAACCAGGUGAGAACCCUGGUCGCCGAAAGUCUAAGGAUUCCUGAGAAAGGUUAAUCCGCUCAGGGUUAGUCGGAGCCUAAGGUGAGGCCGAAAGGCGUAGCCGAUGGACACACGGUUAACAUUCCGUGACUACUUUGUUUUUCGAAGCGGGGACGCAGCGCCGAGCUCCUGGUGCGCAAUGGUUUCAAUCCAGGGGGGAGGCGAGAGCCGGAUAGGCAAAUCCGCCGGCUUGUCUGCCAGGAAAAUCCGCUAAGGUUAGGAACAGAGUAUCCGUACCAUAAACCGACACAGGUGGACGAGUAGAAAAUACUAAGGCGCUCGGGUGAUGGAUUGUUCAGGAACUAGGCAAAUUAGCUCCGUAACUUCGGGAGAAGGAGUGCCCCUUUUUGAUAAGGAGGGGGCCGCAGUGAAUAGCGUCAGGCGACUGUUUAACAAAAACACAGGUCUCUGCAAAGUCGAAAACGACGUAUAGGGGCUGACGCCUGCCCGGUGCCGGAAGGUUAAAGGGAGAGGUUAGCCGCAAGGCGAAGCUUUGAACUGAAGCCCCGGUGAACGGCGGCCGUAACAAUAACGGUCCUAAGGUAGCGAAAUUCCUUGUCGGGUAAGUUCCGACCUGCACGAAUGGCGUAACGAUCUGACGACUGUCUUAACAAUCUGCCCGGCGAACUUGUGGUUCCGGUGAAGACGCCGGAUGCCCGCAUCAAGACGGAAAGACCCCGUGCACCUUUACUAUACCCUAUCAAUGAACUAUGGGGUGCUCUGCGCAGGAUAGGUGGGAGGCUUGGAAUCCGGGUUCUCGGACUCGGAGGAGCCAACGGUGAGAUACCACCCUGGGCAUUCUGUGGUUCUAACUUAUCCGGGUGAAUCCCCGGAAAGGACAUUGGUAGGCGGGUAGUUUGACUGGGGCGGUCGCCUCCUAAACGGUAACGGAGGCGCUCGAAGCUUGGUUCAGGAGGCUUGGAAAUCCUCCAUCGAGUGCAAAGGCAUAAACCAGGUUGACUGCGAGACCAACAAGUCAAGCAGGUGCGAAAGCAGGACUUAGUGAUCCGGUGGUUCUGAAUGGAAGGGCCAUCGCUCAACGGAUAAAAGGUACGCCGGGGAUAACAGGCUGAUCGGAGUCAAGAGUUCACAUCGACGCUCCGGUUUGGCACCUCGAUGUCAGUUCAUCGCAUCCUGGGGGUGUAGAAGCUCCCAAGGGUUAGGCUGUUCGCCUAUUAAAGCGGUACGUGAACUGGGUUCAGAACGUCGCGAGACAGUUCGGUCCCUAUCUGAUGUGGGCGCAGGAGAUUUGAGGGGGCUUGUCCUUAGUACGAGAGGACCGGGAUGAACAGACCUCUUGUGAUCCUGUUGUCACACCAGUGGCACAGCAGGGUAGCGAAGUCUGGUUAGGAUAAGCGCUGAAGGCAUAUAAGCGCGAAACCUUCCCCAAGAUGAGAUCUCCCAAGCGAAAGCUAAGAAGGGCCGUGGAAGACGACCACGUUGAUAGGCUGGAUGUGUAAGCGUAGCAAUACGUUGAGCUGACCAGUACUAAUCGCCCGUUCGGCUUGACC
rnacentral:rRNA from 1 species